rnacentral:rRNA from 1 species
CAGCAGCCGCGUUAAUACAGAGGGUGCGAGCGUUAAUCGGAUUUACUGGGCGUAAAGCGUGCGUAGGCGGCUUCUUAAGUCGGAUGUGAAAUCCCUGAGCUUAACUUAGGAAUUGCAUUCGAUACUGGGAAGCUAGAGUAUGGGAGAGGAUGGUAGAAUUCCAGGUGUAGCGGUGAAAUGCGUAGAGAUCUGGAGGAAUACCGAUGGCGAAGGCAGCCAUCUGGCCUAAUACUGACGCUGAGGUACGAAAGCAUGGGGAGCAAACAGGAUUAGAUACCCGCGUAGUCCCUGUCUCUUAUAC